UGCGUAGGCGGGCUAGUAAGUCAGUGGUGAAAUCUCUCGGCUCAACCGGGAAACUGCCAUUGAUACUGUUAGUCUUGAGUUCGGUUGAGGUAGGCGGAAUGUGUAAUGUAGCGGUGAAAUGCUUAGAUAUUACACAGAACACCAAUUGCGUAGGCAGCUUACUAGACCGACACUGACGCUGAGGCACGAAAGCGUGGGGAGCGAACAGGAUUAGAUACCCUGGUAGUCC
rnacentral:rRNA from 1 species